GCUGUGCGGUCAGGUCCAGCCGCGGCAGGAUGAUGUACUCGGAAAGGAUCAGGAUGGGCACCGCCAGCACAAAGCGUGCGUGCACCGCG
rnacentral:misc_RNA from 1 species